rnacentral:rRNA from 1 species
AUUGAACGCUGGCGGCAUGCUUUACACAUGCAAGUCGAACGGCAGCGCGGGCUUCGGCCUGGCGGCGAGUGGCGAACGGGUGAGUAAUACAUCGGAACGUGCCCAGUAGUGGGGGAUAGCUCGGCGAAAGCCGGAUUAAUACCGCAUACGACCUGAGGGUGAAAGCGGGGGAUCUUCGGACCUCGCGCUAUUGGAGCGGCCGAUGGCAGAUUAGCUAGUUGGUGGGGUAAAGGCCUACCAAGGCGACGAUCUGUAGCUGGUCUGAGAGGACGACCAGCCACACUGGGACUGAGACACGGCCCAGACUCCUACGGGAGGCAGCAGUGGGGAAUUUUGGACAAUGGGCGAAAGCCUGAUCCAGCAAUGCCGCGCGUGUGAUGAAGGCCUUCGGGUUGUAAAGCACUUUUGGCGGGAACGAAAAGGACUGUGCCAAUACCACGGUUCGAUGACGGUACCCGCAGAAUAAGCACCGGCUAACUACGUG